CCUACGGGUGGCAGCAGUGGGGAAUAUUGGACAAUGGGGGGAACCCUGAUCCAGCCAUGCCGCGUGUGUGAAGAAGGCCCUCGGGUUGUAAAGCACUUUCAGUGAGGAAGAACGCCUGGUGGUUAAUACCCAUCGGGAAAGACAUCACUCACAGAAGAAGCACCGGCUAACUCCGUGCCAGCAGCCGCGGUAAUACGGAGGGUGCGAGCGUUAAUCGGAAUUACUGGGCGUAAAGCGCGCGUAGGUGGCUUGAUAAGCCGGUUGUGAAAGCCCCGGGCUCAACCUGGGAACGGCAUCCGGAACUGUCAAGCUAGAGUGCAGGAGAGGAAGGUAGAAUUCCCGGUGUAGCGGUGAAAUGCGUAGAGAUCGGGAGGAAUACCAGUGGCGAAGGCGGCCUUCUGGACUGACACUGACACUGAGGUGCGAAAGCGUGGGUAGCAAACAGGAUUAGAUACCCCUGUAGUC
rnacentral:rRNA from 1 species